rnacentral:rRNA from 1 species
GUACCCCAAAGUGAGGGAUAAGCACCAGAAAUGGUGUCUAAUACCGCAUGUGCUCUAAGGAGUAAAGCUCCGGCGCUUUGGGAACGGCCUGCGCAUGAUUAGCUAGAUGGUGAGGUAAUGGCUCACCAUGGCGACGAUCAUUAGCUGGUCUGAGAGGAUGAUCAGCCAGACUGGGACUGAGACACGGCCCAGACUCCUACGGGAGGCAGCAGUAGGGAAUUUUCCACAAUGGGCGAAAGCCUGAUGGAGCAACGCCGCGUGCAGGAUGAAUGCCUUCGGGUUGUAAACUGCUUUUAUAUGUGACGAAUAUGACGGUAGCAUAUGAAUAAGGAUCGGCUAACUCCGUGCCAGCAGCCGCGGUCAUACGGAGGAUCCAAGCGUUAUCCGGAAUUACUGGGCGUAAAGAGUUGCGUAGGCGGCAUAGUAAGCAGAUAGUGAAAGCGUGUGGCUC